AUUGAAACUUCCUUUACUGUUGUCAGGAGGUAAGUUCGCAUUUUAAACUAACUUGCAGACCUUACAACAGCUAACAGUGGCUUAUGGCAGAAAAAUCAAUUUCCCUACAGGCGUUAUGGACUGAAUUUCAAUUUGCAAAACAUAUGAAAAUAAAAAUGUUUAUACUUAAUUCUGGUAGUGAAGUGGUUAUGGAUUACUGUUUUAGUCUCAUCGGAUUUAUCUGACUUUUGCAUGUAUAUACAGAUUCACUAAUUCCUACCUCCAAUUAAACAAAUCGCAAUGUGACUUUGAGGAAAGGAUCCAAAGUAGCCACACCACACUGCUUUUCAUUCUAACUGCCACUUGCAUUAAUGAGUAUUGCAAAAAAUAACAAAAUCAGUAGAUCUGCCAUUCUAAAAAUGGUUUAGAA